rnacentral:lncRNA from 1 species
UGGGCGUUGGUUUUAUCGAAAACGGAGAUACGGAUAAAAAGAUAUGAUCAAAAGAAAUUUGACUAUGAAACAAAUUUCGAAAUUGAAAAUUUCAAAAAGUUGACGUGACAGGUUAACUGGAUAGGUGAAAACAAGACGAAACUAUAGGCGCUGGUUUCAUCUAAUUUGGAUGAACGAGUAAAAAGUUAUGGCUAUUUGAAAAAAUCAGGGCCAAGCUGUUUUGCAGAAGAAAAAUAGCUAUGGCUAAAAAAAGAUAGGUCUAACGCAUAAAUACAGAGAACGAAGAAAUAUACCUAAAAGACGACUUCGGAGUGAGGAGACAACUUUCAAAGUCCCGCCGGAGAGGAGAAAUAUAUUUUUAGCUAGUCAAACCAAAAUAUUGAUUUAACCCGCAAUGAAUAAUUUUUGAAGGCUCUAUGGGUCUAUAUUUAUAGAUGGAAAAGAGGUUUAGGGGUUAAAGGCUAGGCAAUGUGGGACUAAACGUAGACGAACAAAUAAAAUAAACGGGGAACGCAUGGGCUAAAAGCACCACGGGCCGGCUGCGCGCGCACGUGUACACUGCCGUUUUUUUUAAACAAAAAUCGGCCUAAGUAAAAGAAAAUAAAAAGGAUGGCUGGGCCUGGCCCAUUUAGGAGAGGGAAAAACAAAUGAGGCGCCCGCUGCCACUAUGCUACGCGUGUGGGCGGUAAAUAACUAUGGGCCGCAUGUACAGUUUUUUUUUAAACAAAUUGAAACAGAAGGAAAAUCGGAUAAAGAAAUAAAUUAAAAUUUUAUAUAGGCAUAUUAUGUAUCAAAAUUUUCAGAAAAAGAUUUUCUACAACAUGAACAUUUUUGUAAAGUCAAAUAAAGACCAAAAAAAUUCAAAUAAAUCAAACAGUGCUACUGCCUUAAUAAAAUGCAAUAAAAAUCAUUUUAAAAAUACCAAAAUGAUUUCAAAUUUAUUUCUCUCCAAUUUUCUGUUGUAGGGAAUCAUGUUACCCUAAUUUCUUUAUAUUUUAUUUUUGGAGAAAAAUAAUUUGAAUAAAACCCAAAUAACUCCAAAUUAAAAUAAUUUCCAAAAGGACUUUGAAUUUGACCUUUGAAACUCCCAACUCAUAUUUCAUAUGUUUUUAAGAAGUCAUUUUAUCUUCUCUCGUGAAAAUCAUUGAGUUGCAUAAAGUUUCAGAAAUGUGAAAUAUUUUCAAAUGAAAUUCAAAUAUUUUCAACACCCCUUGUCAUUUAAAUAAAUGGAAGAAGUCAUGUCAUCUUCUCUCCAGGGUUUUGUGGUGAAAAGAAUUUGAAUUUACGGAGAUCAUAAAAGCAAAAUGAAAGUUUGGGAAAGUCCUCUCAUUUAACUUUCAAAGAUUUCGAAUUCCACUCACUUUCAGUCAAUCAAUCAAACAAUCAAUCCAAUUUAUCUGUUUAUUAUAACAUUCCAAAAUUUAGAAUUUUGGGAUGUUACAAACCUACCACCCUUAAAAUGAAUCUUGUCCUCGAGAUUCGGAGAGGCUAGCAAGAAAUAGGUUAGGUUUGGGGUCUUCUCAAAAUCCAUCGAUCAUCACCGGGGUCUGGGGUGCUACCACCCUUAGAAGCAUUGUUACGGUUCCAUCAAAACUCGUAUACUCCAUCCUUGUUGUUGACAGUGUCAGUCUUCUCAGAUUCUCGGAAAAAUUCCUUCUCUGGCUCUUUGGGUAGCGGCAUAACCUUUUUCCUCAAUUCUUCUGUCCUUUCAUCUUGGUAAGGUUCUUCCAUGACUCGGUCUUCUUAGCUGACGGGUCUGGCGCCAAAACUAAACAACUAUCGAUAUCUCAUGGUGGUCAACAAUUUACGGUUUCUCCUGCAGGAAAUGGGUCUGGUUGAUCUUCACCGUAUAACCUACGAUUGGCAUCAACUGCCGUGUACAAGGGAAACAUUCUUAUACCAUUCUAAGGUUCAAGCAAGGUUUAAUACCGUCGUCUCUCUACUAUAGGUAGGUCACUCAGAUUUACCAUACCAUAUAGCAAAGCGAACAAUAAGAGUAAGUCGGUAUGGUGAUCAAUCCAUCCCGCACCCAAAUCAUUACCUUGUACAUGGUUUAGCGAAUCUCGCAUUCUAACACUCGGUCAUCCUCACAAGCAUUGCAGAAUUUCUCUUGUCAACGAACUAGGUUCGGAUAAAUCCAUUGAUUCUGCAAGCCAAACAAACCUCUAUCGUUCCUUCACAACUCUCAGGUUUUUGCGUAAACUCCUAUAAAAUCGUCAGUCGAUAAAAAUCGUAACUACUUCCGGGGUUUUUCCUUCAGCAAGAAUGUGCUUCUUCUUGGCAGGUCCUGGGGCCUGUGGGUUAUGGCCCAUCUCAUCACUGGUAAACCUUGAACUCAUCAUCGGGGAAACUGAUCCUUAAUCCAACAUCCAACUUCCUGGUAUUCUUAAACCCAUCCAGUACUGUCUUCCUUCCUUCUAUUGGCACCAAACUGGGACAUGAUUACUCAAACUCAUCAUGGAAUUUCCAUUGAUCCAUAUUUCCAACAUCAUACCUCCUUUAUAUCCAAUAGUAAUUCAUCUCUUCAUCCUCGGGGAAUAUCCCACAUACCGAGAUAAAACUUGUACUUAUUUUGUUCGAAAUCCACUUCGUGGAAUAUCAUUACCUUUUUCCAAGGGUCAAGUUUCCUCACGGGGUACUACCACCUUUAAAAUGCACAAUCUUCCAUAGACCAUAUUUCUCAUAUCCUCGAAAAUGGUCAAAAAAUUUCUUCAUAGAGUAACAACUCUUAAAAUCCAAACCAAUACCAAUGAUGCUAACUUUAUUGAUUCUCAAAUUAUUACAAUCUCCUGCAUUUCAUUACAUGCCUCAAUCCAACACCUCACUAAUCAAAGAAAUGUCCACACUACUACUACUAUACUUCUCGUUGCACUCAACUAUUUGUCUCAAGUCUCCGUCUCCUUGGGGCAUUCUCUGGCAAAGUGCCCUGCUUCAUCACAACGGAAACAUAUUACUUCUGACAUAACUCGGGGUUUCCUUGUGAUUAUAUAGCCUUCUGGGGUCCUCAUCUUCCCUUUUGGGCAAUCAUUGUGGUAGUGUCCUGGAUUUUUGCACCUGAAACAUGUGAUAUGACUCAGGUCUCUCUUUGUAGAAAUUGGGUUGUUCCUGGGAUCCAAUCUACUUCUCUUCCUGGACUUUUCCGUUCCAAUCAGGGCUUCUAUUUCCUGUGGGUCAUACUCUACUUCCUCUGUCGGGAAUCCCCAUUCAGACAAUUUUAGGAGAUGUGUCCUUCUUCUCCACAUGAAUAGCAUGACUUGGUGUAGGGUUUAAUUGGUUCUUCUUUGGGUGUGUCCUCCACCUCUUCCUUCAUCGCAGAUUCCUCUAAAAUUUCCAUGAGGGCUCUUUUCAUUGCUUCUUUCUUCUGCUGGAUGGUCCUUUGUACCAUGGGGUAGAUGUGACACUGAGCAAGGUAGUGGGUAGUCCCUUCACACAAGAAACAAGUGAUCUGCCUAGUUGGGCGUUCUUCAGCUGGGUGACUUCCUUCACAGUUAGGGCAUUCAUUCUUGUGUUCCUUAUGGUUGUGUCCUAUUUCUCCACAAGGCUUGUAUGCACAAGGUUUCUUCAUAUCCUUUCCAUAAGGCUUCAAUUUCUGGGACACAAGACGAGAUCUUUGUAGAGUCCACUUAAAUUCUUUCCAAGUAGUUACUCCUUGCCAUCCAUUGAUGGUUUGGUACAUCCUCCACCCAGUGGCAGCACCUCUUUCAAACAUUGAAGAGCAUGCCGGGUCAUAUCCUUUCCGACUAUAGGGUUAUUCUUCAUGUGAUCCUCCAUGUUCUGAAUCCAUCGGUCCGUCUCCAAUUGACUCAUCGGUCCAGAAAAUACAAGCUCAUCUCCAUUCAUCCUCUAUUGGGUCCAUGGGUUUGGGGUGAGAUAAGAGAGGUCAAGAGGGAUACACACAAUGCAAACAAAAGUUUUGAAAAGACAGAUUUUUAUCGUGGCUGUCAGAAAAAUAAUAAACAAAUGACAGCUCACAAUCGUCGCAUCUAACGUAGGUAUAACAUGGGUUUGGUCUUCUAAAGGUCAAUAAAUCUUCAACGUCGCCAAACUCUUCAAGUCUUGGUCAUGUCUCCAAUGGCUUCUUCCAAUCAUGCUUGUCCUUCUUAAGUUCUUUUGCCAGAUCAUCUCUGUUGACUCAAAGUCUCUCGUGACAUCCUUGAAUAUUCUGGGGUUGCAUCCCAAACUUCUGGGUUUCAUCAACCUCGACAUGGUCCACGAUCUUAUUGUCCUUCAGUUCCUGACGAGUCUCCGUUAUCUCAAGGUUUUGCUUUCCCUGCUUGGCUACUUUCAGUUUCUGGGUUCUGAGUUCUUCACGAAACACUUCUUUGUCAAAUACAGCUUCCUGCAGGUCCAUCUUUAAACUUCCUGAUGUAAUGCUCCAGAUCCUGGUGAUACACCAGCUAAGGUUAAAACUGCAUCCUUUGCUGAUAGAUGCUCCAUCAGCUUUCUACCAUCCAAUCCUUCCAUGCAUCUGCAUGCUUAACUCCGCACGGUGACAAUAGCAUAAACGGGUAAUAACACCAUGGUCAGCCGUGUCUAUGCCCAUGUUACUGCCAUGAGCUUUCAUUCCAUAACUGAUAUCUCCUGUCUUUGGGUUUUCUUAACAAAAACUUUGAGUUCUAAUGCUCCAUGUUUCGGUCUUUCUCCGAUACACCUUGGUCUCGGGCAUUGACGGCUUCCAUAGUUUGCCAAGUUCCAUAAGGGUAACCUUCCUAGGUCAUACACAUCUGGCAAUUCUUCAGAGCCUUCAAAUUCUCCCAGUCUUCGGAGUCUUCAACCGUUGUAGUUUCCAUUAUCAUAAUGCACGGUAAAAUCCUAUUCAUUCCGAAUGGUCUUAGUUGUCCGAUAUCUUGUACUUCUUGAAGUGGUCUUAUCCGUCGAAUCUUCGAGUGGUCCAAAAGGAAAAAGGGGUAUGGUCUCACUAAAAGGGAAUAUUUGAAUAAACUCAGAAGAGAAGAGAGGUAAAAGAUCUUUUUGAAAAGGAAAGUUUUAGGGAAAAUCCUCCCUAUGGGCUUGCCAGUUUCUAGGGUCACGUCCUACAGUUAACAUGUGCUCUGAUACCAUCUUGUAGCGACCCGACCCGAAUGGAUCAAGUCUCUGUGCUUAAGUGUCAUCCCUGGAUCGGUAUGCUGACACACACAGUACUCGAGGAUUUAUAACAGAGGUAAAUCACAUGUAUAAAGUAACGUAAAUACUAUUACCUCAAUCCAAAUAGCGGAAGUAACAAGGUUGUGGAUUCCCAUCAACACCAACGGCAAAGUUGAGUGUAGAAAUCGUAACCCUAACGUAUCACUUACUCGUAGUAAGAAUCCUGCAACAUGAAACGUUGCAGCCCGAAAACGGGUCAGUACAUUGAAUGUACUGGCAAAUUCACACCAUAGAGAAAUGAUGAACAAAGGCUAUCACUACAUGCAUAUAUGGCUGGUGGAAAAGCUCUAUGGUUAUAAUGUUUUUGCGAAAAGCCAGUUUUUCCCUACUGCAAAGGAAUAAAUUUUAUUUAACUAUCAUGGUGGUUGUGAAACAUUGAGAUGGUUGACAGCAUCUCAAUCCCAAUUAAGUAUCAUCAUUAGCCCAACAAUAUUAAUUAAAGUAACAUGAUGAGAUCAACGGGAUAAUCCAAGAACUAGAUACUCAAGAUGUCCAUAACCGAGGACACGGCUAAUCAUGAUUAGUUUGUACACUCUGCAGAGGUUUGCGCACUUUUCCCCACAAGACUCGAUCGCCUCCGCUUGAUUCUCGCACUGCAUGAUGUUUGAGAAACGGAUGACCGAGACACAGUCUUUCAGGAACAAUCACUCUUUACUCCAGGUGGACCGGUACACCUACUUUCCCCUACAUCUGCUAGCCCACCUCUUCAAGAGAUCAUGUAACCUACUCAACUAUGCUAGAGCCCAUAAUAGCUUGUGGCUGCACACGGAAGUUUCUAGCAUGAACAAUCUUAUGACCCCUUUGAGCCUGGGUGACGGACCUUAUAAAAUCAGACAACACUGGGUUCUCCAGGUGCCUCAAUCCACCCAGAUGUGAGUUUUAGUUGCCACCUUAAGUUGAACCAUUAAUAAACAUCUCACAUCUGUCAUGAAUAUCUCUCAAACCCAAUCCACGUCUACGAGCAUGGCAUGGCAAUAAUAAUAGCAACGUAGAAGUAACUCCCGAGGGUUUGAUAAGAAAACAGGUAAUAGGUACUACCUCAACUACUUCCCAGCUCCCACAAUUUAAUCAGAUCCUAAUCAUGCAAUGUGUUUGAGGAAUAGAUCUGAUGCAAUAAAACUGGGUAGGGAAAGUAUGAUCAAAGUGUUACUUGCCUGCAAUGUUGAUGAAGAUGAUUCGCACUCAAAACUCUUGAUAGAUCUACUCGUCACACUCCGGUCAAUCUAUCGUAAGCAAGCAGUAGCAACCAUACAUAAGCAAUCACUCAAGAUCAGAAAGAUCGAAGAAAACAAUUCGGAAAACUUCAAAACCAAGCAAAUAACUCUUGCAACAUAAAACAAUUUCUAACAGCACCAAAAUUAUGUGAAUUUGGCCUUAUCAGAAAGUUUAGGUCAAGAGCUUCGCUUUGCAAAAAAAAUCAACUUAAACGGAGUUAUAAAACUCAAGUUAUGUUCAAAAGAAGAUUCAAAUACAAAUCUGUUUGAAAUCAAAUUUUAAAACUUUCAAAAACAUGUUUAAGUUGUAUUACUGGAUAGAGGGAAUCAUAACGAAAAAGUGGGCGUUGGUUUCAUCGAAAACGGAGGUACGGAUAAAAAGAUAUGAUCAAAAGAAAUUUGAGUACGAAACAAAUUUCGAAAUUUGAAAAUUUCAAAAAGUUGACGUGACAGGUUAACUGGAUAGGUGAAAACAAGACGAAACUAUAGGCGCUGGUUUCAUCUAAUUUGGAUGAACGAGUAAAAAGUUAUGGCUAUUUGAAAAAAUCAGGGCCAAACUGUUUUGCAGAAGAAAAAUAGCUAUGGCUAAAAAAAAUAGGUCUAACGCAUAAAUACAGAGAACGAAGAAAUAUACCUAAAAGACGACUUCGGAGUGAGGAGACAACUUUCAAAGUCCCGCCGGAGAGGAGAAAU